rnacentral:rRNA from 1 species
UACGUAGGGACCAAGCGUUGUCCGGAAUCAUUGGGCGUAAAGCGCGCGUAGGUGGCCAUUUAAGUCCGCUGUGAAAGUCAGAGGCUCAACCUUUGAAAGCCGGUGGAUACUGGAUGGCUAGAGUACGGAAGAGGCGAGUGGAAUUCCUGGUGUAGCGGUGGAAUGCGCAGAUAUCAGGAGGAACACCAAUAGCGAAGGCAGCUCGCUGGGACGUUACUGACACUAAGGCGCGAAAGCAUGGGGAGCGAACAGG